GUAAGCACCACAUAAAUGUUAGCUACUAUUAUUACUGCUGUUGCUGUUAUCAUCAAAGCAGUGACUAACCAUGUCUCCAGAGGAUCUAUGAUGAAACAUGGUGGAAUGGAUACAAGCAGGGUGUCUUCUGAAACAUUUUGGAGGCAGAACCACAGGCUGUCAGAGCUGGAAGGAGCCUUAGAGGCCACAGGGUAUAGGCCCUAGCCAUGGUUACACUGAGUCAAAGGGUAUAUACAGUUUAGUGACUUUGGAGCAUGGUUCCAAAUUGCUUUUCAGAAUGG